rnacentral:rRNA from 1 species
AAUGACUCUCGACAACGGAUAUCUCGGCUCUUGCAUCGAUGAAGAACGUAGCGAAAUGCGAUACUUGGUGUGAAUUGCAGAAUCUCGUGAACCAUCGAGUCUUUGAACGCAAAUUGCGCCCGAAGCCAUUAGGACGAGGGCACGUCUGCCUGGGUGUCAUGC